rnacentral:rRNA from 1 species
UACAUGGGGUGCAAACGUUGCUCGGAAUUAUUGGGCGUAAAGCGCACGUAGGCGGUUUGUUAAGUCGGAUGUGAAAUCCCUCGGCUCAACUGAGGAAGUGCAUCCGAAACUGGCAAGCUUGAGUACGAAAGAGGGUCGCGGAAUUCCCGGUGUAGAGGUGAAAUUCGUAGAUAUUGGGAAGAACACCGGUGGCGAAGGCGGCGACCUGGCCCAUUACUGACGCUGAGGCGCGACAGCGUGGGGAGCAAACAGG